UGGAGAACAAACGUCCACCAACCAGGAAACACCUGCCUCCAACUGUUAAGUCUGUGAAAUGUGCUUUGUUUCUGGUCAGCAUGGUCACCUGCUUUAAUAGUGGCUUCAGAUGAGGCACCUUGUGACAGAGGAGCUCUUCCCCUGCAGCAACCUUGAAGAUGUUGUGGAAGACAAUAGCCAUUCUUACUUCACUCUGAGGAUCACGAUGGCGUGCAAGGGUGUGCCAAGCACAUUGCUAUCUUUGGCCAUUCUCUCUCACAUUAGUACACCUGGAUGUGAAUGGCACGUUAUCUAUGUAAGCAGUGAUGGUCUCUAUCUGGUGGUAGAAAUGACAGAAUUACACACAAUCAGGACAGCUGAGAUUCCAUUUACUAGCUCAGUAAUCAGAGAAUAUGUAUGACAUCCCAGCAAAAAAUGUUGAACAUGUUCAGAUUUCAUCAUAUCAGCACCACAGUAUCAGUCUUACUGGGAGGUGCUUGCAUUCAGUUCCUGGCUACUGAAGAAAUUUUGCAGGAGUUCCAGAUAACUUACUUGUCCCAUAAUAAUGAAAACUAUUACAAUUAUGCUAAAGAAGAAUACUUAAUAACACAGUAAAAAUGUUUAUGAUGUCUUUUAAUUUCUAAAGCAUGUUAUAAAAGUAUUACAGUAUGAUCUCAUAUUUGUAACUAAAAUAUAUAUUAAUUCAUUU
rnacentral:lncRNA from 1 species